AAGAGCGACCUCAGUGUGCUCUGAACCGUGGACGUGAGAGUGUGUGUUUGUGUGCUGCGUGAACUAUUUUUCCUGCGUGAAACACUUUCCAUACUGCGCCAUCCGCGGUGUUCUUUCUGCUUUAUCGGAGGACAAAUUGUUAUCAUCUAAUUGUUUCGAUGUGUGCUGCUACCGCUAGCUGUUCUCCAAACCUCUUCAAAUUGCGACACUGUGUGCACAGGCGUUCAAGGUUCAAUUGAUCCUCGAGCACAAAGCCUUCAUACAACACUGCGGUCGAGGCGCGUCAAAUCUGAUGACAUCUUUCCUGAACCAAGCAGGCUGAACACGCGCACCACCACGGGCUGUGAGUGUGAAGCAGCUAGACUGCCGCAACCAAAUCAAGAGAGUAAAUUCUCAUUUCAAUCCGAAAAACUGGGAGAGAGUGAUCCCUACAAACAACGAGCGGAAUAUUUUAUCAUGGUGUGUGUAAAAACCUAGAGUUAAGCGGAGAAUCGGUGUGAA